CAUUCGCGAAACAUCCGGCAGCCUCCACACUGCACCUGACCUCUCCGAUGGCCCUCGAGCUCCGGUGGAUGGCACUGUGCCGCCGCCCGCGGCCGCCUGCGGACCUGCGCUCCGCCGCCGUUUGCGAGGCCCGGCACUCUGCCGCUGCCGCCUGCACGCGAUCCUCCCCAAACCCUAGUCUCUUUUGUUUCCCCAGCAUCUUCAUUGCCGCCGUCACUGCUUCCUUCCCGGACGCCGGUCGCCGUCGAAAUUCGUCGUAUCCGCGCUCCCGGCGACCACCUCCUCCAUCCCGAGGAUCUCCUUGGCCCUAGCGCCAACGGCGGGUCGUCGGCGAUGGGCAGAGCAGUCAAACACGCCCACGGGUGGGUCCUUCCCCAUGAGCGGCUUCUUUUUCAAGGCUUCGCCUCAAGAGCCGCAGACGCUGACCUCUCCUCACCGUGUGCCUCUAGCGUCGCCGUUCGUCUUCUCAGCAUCACGGCCGCCGUGUCUGGUGGGACUCGGGAGCAAGAAGCGGCAGCGGCCGAACCUCCACGUCAAGUUGGCCUCACGCUAGCUGCAUGAGACUCUGGCAAUGGGAAGAAGAGACAUCGCCGCCGCAGCAGCUCGCCAAGACGAACUCAUCUGACAACAGCGAGUCCUCCCGCUCGGGCAACAUUUCCAGAUGGUGCUUUUUGUUCAUUACUUUGCUGGCCAAGGCGGCCAACUGACCAAUCAGGUACGGCCGUGCAUCUUCACUUUCUGAUUUCUUUGCCUCAAUGCGUCUAUGAAUUCCAUCCCAUGCUGGCUAGAGCUUCGUCCAUGGAGGAUUUACACAAUGUGUUGAUAGCUUGCUUGUGCAACCGUUGCUUCGGCCAUAGAGGAUAUGCACGCUAUGUGUUUGAUGGUUUGCCUCUCCAACACUGACCAAUUAAUCAUGCGAAAUUAAGCUAACAAGGAGUCCUAUUUGAUGGGGGGAGG